GACAGAGGGUGCAAACGUUGCUCGGAAUCACUGGGCGUAAAGGGCGUGUAGGCGGGAAGGUAAGUUGGGCGUGAAAUCCCUGAGCUCAACUCAGGAACUGCACUCGAAACUACUUUUCUUGAGUGCCGGAGAGGAAAGCGGAAUUCCUGGUGUAGAGGUGAAAUUCGUAGAUAUCAGGAGGAACACCAGUGGCGAAGGCGGCUUUCUGGACGGUAACUGACGCUGAGACGCGAAAGCGUGGGGAGCAAACAGG
rnacentral:rRNA from 1 species